AACGCACCUUGCGCCCUUUGGUAUUCCGAAGGGCAUGCCUGUUUGAGUGUCAUUAAAUUAUCAACCUUGCUCGCUUUUACCGGCUUGAGUUAGGCUUGGAUGUGAGGGCUUUGCUGGCCUCCUUCAGUGGAUGGUCUGCUCCCUUUAAAUGCAUUAGUGGGAUCUCUUGUGGACCGUCACUUGGUUGUGAUAAUUAUCUACGCCGUUCUGUGAAGCAUAACUAUGGGACUCGGCUUCCAAUAGUCCUUCACUGGACAAUAUCUUUGACCUUUGACCUCAAAUCAGGUAGGAUUACCCGCUGAACUUAA
rnacentral:rRNA from 1 species